rnacentral:rRNA from 1 species
CCCUUAGAUGUUCUGGGCCGCACGCGCGCUACACUGACGGAUUCAACGAGCUUACAACCUUGGCCGAAAGGUCUGGGUAAUCUCCAAAAUCCGUCGUGAUGGGGAUAGAUUAUUGCAAUUAUUAAUCUUCAACGAGGAAUGCCUAGUAAGCGCAAGUCAUCAGCUUGCGUUGAUUACGUCCCUGCCCUUUGUACACACCGCCCGUCGCUACUACCGAUUGAACGGUUUAGUGAGGGCCUCGGAUUGGUCUCGGCCCGCUCUUUACCGGGCGGCGCCGUUGGUCGAGAAGACGCUCGAACUUGAUCGUUUAGAGGAAGUAAAAGUCGUAACA